rnacentral:rRNA from 2 species
ACGAACGCUGGCGGCGUGCUUAACACAUGCAAGUCGAACGGAAAGGCCCUUCGGGGUACUCGAGUGGCGAACGGGUGAGUAACACGUGGGUGAUCUGCCCUGCACUUUGGGAUAAGCCUGGGAAACUGGGUCUAAUACCGAAUAUGACCGCGCACUUCCUGGUGUGUGGUGGAAAGCUUUUGCGGUGUGGGAUGGGCCCGCGGCCUAUCAGCUUGUUGGUGGGGUAAUGGCCUACCAAGGCGACGACGGGUAGCCGGCCUGAGAGGGUGACCGGCCACACUGGGACUGAGAUACGGCCCAGACUCCUACGGGAGGCAGCAGUGGGGAAUAUUGCACAAUGGGCGCAAGCCUGAUGCAGCGACGCCGCGUGAGGGAUGACGGCCUUCGGGUUGUAAACCUCUUUCAAUAGGGACGAAGCGCAAGUGACGGUACCUAUAGAAGAAGGACCGGCCAACUACG